rnacentral:rRNA from 1 species
CACGUAGGGGACGAGCGUUGUCCGGAUUCAUUGGGCGUAAAGCGCGCGUAGGCGGCUCGGAAAGUCGGGCGUGAAAUGCCGGGGCUCAACCCCGGGACUGCGUCCGAUACUUCCGAGCUGGAGGUAGGUAGGGGAGAUCGGAAUUCCUGGUGUAGCGGUGAAAUGCGCAGAUAUCAGGAGGAACACCAGUGGCGAAGGCGACUACCUGGCCUGUUUCUUGACGCUGAGGCGCGAAAGCUAGGGGAGCAAACGGG